GGGAAACACACGUUUCAUCUGAAGUAUGUAUUUGCAUCUAGUGCAGCCACCUUGAGGGAAUGAGUCAUUUCUAAAGCAAACAACACUUUAAGGCCACGCUCUUUCUUUCACUGAUAAUUCCAGAUCGUGCAAUGAGAUGUUCUGAGCAAUUACCCAUAACGGUACAAGUAACCUAAACUGACUGUGAAGAAUUAGAAACUGAGAAACAGCACAAUAUAAAGUUCCACUUUACUGACUUUAACCAUUUUUCUUGCCUUGGAGACAUAAAAAUGUACACUCCUAAAACUAAACACACACACACGCACUUCCAGGAGCCUCAAUCAGCUAUUCCCCAAGUGCUCAACAGAGGUGAUUGGCACCAGCUGGGACCUCGCUCCUCCUACAACACUGUUUGAGAUUUUUUCUCUUUUUUUUUUUUUUUUUUGGUGUCUUUCUACUUUUUCAGGAGCAGGGAAAUCUAAAUGUAAACAGCAGUUAAGUAGAUAUUCUAGCCUUGUUCAUACUGGUAUAGGCACUUCUGUGUUGGGUUACAUGACAAAGACAUCAUUCACUAAAUCCUGCGAAGCUAUAAUGAAACAAUUAGGCAAUGCGGCUGCAAAAUAAAUUUCAGAAUGGUUUAAAUUGUGCAGCUCAGAUAUCCAAAUUAUGGCUUAAUCUGUUAAACAUGUCAUGACCUGCUGUGCAAAGUGUUUGAAGUUCUGACAGAGACAGGUUUUCCACUAAGAGAAUGAGAUUCAGACUAGAGGGUGGAAAAAAAAGUGGAAUAGGUGUAAUUUAUAAACUCACCCGUGCCUUUUCUCUGCUUCUCCAGGAAGCUACACCCUCCAGCACCAGCUGAGGCCCGACUGAAUCAAACAGAGCUAUCAGAGUGUUAUCUGUGCCAGACGCCCACCAUCCUUAGCAGUGAUACUGAGACAGCAUCCAGGACCUCAGGACGCCGCGGGAAACACAGCAGGACACCAAGAGAGGUGUGACAACGUCACUGGAUGCAGCAGGCGUAGAAUGCUGAACACACAUGUAAGUGCACAAACGCACAAAUCCUUACAGUACACACAUGUCCACACAAUGGAUACACAUGCGCACAGGCAGACUCUGAAGACAGAGACAAAGAUGAGCACUAAGACCAUCUGAUAUUGCUAAACUGUCA
ensembl:lncRNA